CCAGCAGCUGCGGUAAUUCCGGCUCCAAUAGCGUAUAUUAAAGUUGUUGCAGUUAAAAAGCUCGUAGUUGGAUUUCUGGUUUGAGCGUCCGGUCCGUCUCCUUUGGAGAUGUGUUACUAUGGAUGUUUGAGCCAUUUUUUGUGAGGAUGUUUUUCUGCCAUUAAGUUGGUGGUUGAAUAGACUUGCAUCGUUUACUGUGAAAAAAUUAGAGUGUUUAAAGCAGGCGUUUGCUCAUUGAAUACAUUAGCAUGGAAUAAUAAGAUACGACCUUGGUGGUCUAUUUUGUUGGUUUGCACACCAGGGUAAUGAUUAAUAGGGACAGUUGGGGGUAUUCAUAUUUCAGCGUCAGAGGUGAAAUUCUUGGAUCGCUGAAAGAUGAGCUUAGGCGAAAGCAUUUACCAAGGAUGUUUUCA
rnacentral:rRNA from 1 species